UUUCCGUAGGUGAACCUGCGGAAGGAUCAUUACCGAGUGAGGGCCCUCUGGGUCCAACCUCCCACCCGUGUCUAUCGUACCUUGUUGCUUCGGCGGGCCCGCCGUUUCGACGGCCGCCGGGGAGGCCUUGCGCCCCCGGGCCCGCGCCCGCCGAAGACCCCAACAUGAACGCUGUUCUGAAAGUAUGCAGUCUGAGUUGAUUAUCGUAAUCAGUUAAAACUUUCAACAACGGAUCUCUUGGUUCCGGCAUCGAUGAAGAACGCAGCGAAAUGCGAUAAGUAAUGUGAAUUGCAGAAUUCAGUGAAUCAUCGAGUCUUUGAACGCACAUUGCGCCCCCUGGUAUUCCGGGGGGCAUGCCUGUCCGAGCGUCAUUGCUGCCCUCAAGCACGGCUUGUGUGUUGGGCCCCCGUCCCCCUCUCCCGGGGGACGGGCCCGAAAGGCAGCGGCGGCACCGCGUCCGGUCCUCGAGCGUAUGGGGCUUUGUCACCUGCUCUGUAGGCCCGGCCGGCGCCAGCCGACACCCAACUUUAUUUUUCUAAGGUUGACCUCGGAUCAGGUAGGGAUACCCGCUGAACUUAA
rnacentral:sRNA from 1 species